rnacentral:rRNA from 1 species
CCUACGGGUGGCAGCAGUGAGGAAUAUUGGUCAAUGGACGAGAGUCUGAACCAGCCAAGUAGCGUGAAGGAUGACUGCCCUAUGGGUUGUAAACUUCUUUUAUAUGGGAGUAAAACGUUCCACGUGUGGGAUUUUGUAUGUACCAUAUGCAUAAGGAUCGGCUAACUCCGUGCCAGCACCCGCGGUAUUACGGAGGAUCCGAGCGUUAUCCGGAUUUAUUGGGUUUAAAGGGAGCGAAGGCGGAGCGUUAAGUCAAGGGGAAAAUUGAGGGGCUCAACCCCUUCCCGCCAUUGAAUCUGGCAGGCUAGAGUGGAGGAGAGGUAUGCAGAAUGCGUGGUGUAGCGGUGAAAUGCAUAGAGAUCACGCAGAACACCGAUGGCGAAGGCAGCAUGCCGGCUUCCGACUGACGCUGAGGCACGAAAGCGUGGGGAGCGAACAGGAUUAGAUACCCUGGUAGUC